AUCCGACAUCCCCUGCUAGGUGCCGUAUACGUAAAUACAUGCAUGCGAUACAGAAGCCAUGCAUAUAUAUACUUGCUGCCUCAUCAUCACGGGCAGAAGGUGACCUGGUAGUUGCUGUUGCCGCCGCAGGCAUGGGUCUUCCUGUCGGGAGGAUUGUGGUAUGCGUCAGGGCAGCUCGAGUCCCUGCACACCAGCCCGACGCCGGUGCUGCAGGAGAAGGCCAUGCCGAUGUUGAAGCCGUCGAUGACCGAGAUGUCGUAGAAGUCCUGGCUGCCGCCGAUCGUGAACUCGGCCAGCGUCAGCGGAGGCUUGCCGGAGAGGGUGCAGGCGAGCGCGCCGCCGCAGUCGCCCGUCUGGCAGCUCCCGCUGUUGCCGUUGAAGGAGCAGCCCGUGCGGCCCCAGACGCGGCCGGAGCUGGUGCCGGCCGGCACGUUGAUCGUCCACGUCCCGCCUGAGUUCAGCUGCGUGCCCCCGCCGACUGGGGUCGCCGCCGGCCACACCGUGAACCCGCAGUUGUUCUUGAUGGUGAAGGUCGCCGCGUGAGUGCCGCUGGCCAUCAAGGUGGCGGCGAGGAAAAGCAGGAGGAUCGAGGACGAUGAGGCGGCCAUAUAUUGAUGCUAAUACUAUGCGAGCUUCUUUCUUGUGGAAAUAGGCGAGCUGCUUGGGAAGUUGGAGGGAAAGUGCGUGUAUAUUUAUAGGUGGAAUUACAAAUUAAUGUCCAGUGGUUAGGAAUUAUAGAAGCAUACUGUCCAGUGGAAUUACUACAAAAUUGUCCUUCAUUGUUGACCGAGAAGGAUAGACUGAGAUGCUGCCAAAUUGCUAACUGGAAGAAAGUGUCUUGGAUGCGUGCAUGAUGUGGAUUUUUUUUUGGAUAACUCUUUCGAUGAGCCACUUCACAACUUGUACGAGUAUGAACGCGCAUGCAACCCAAAAUCCACAUCUACCAUGACAAGGACACUGGAAAUAAUGUAUAGAUCACAUGAAUGGAGAAAUUAGGCUUUGUUUAGUUCCCUUGCGACUUUUCAGGCUACUGUAGCACUUUCGUUUGUUUAUGAUAAUUUUUAUCCAAUUAUAGACUAACUAGGUUCAAAAAAUCCAUCUUGUAAAUUACAGGCAAGCUGUGUAAUUUGUUAUUUUUAUCUAUAUUAAUGCUCUAUGCAUGUUCCGCAAGAUUCGAUGUGACGAAGAAUCUUAAAAAGUGUUUGGCUUUUUGGAGGAACUAAUUAAACAAGGCCUAAGGAGUACUAAUUUUAUUAAAAUCAUAAUAAUUUUUUCCGAACUUGAACUUGUUUUUUGUGUCUAAAUCAACACCAUCUUAAUUAAGUUUCUCACCCAAGUUUGUAUCUUGUAUAUGAAGCCAGCAACACCCCAUCAACCACUGUUCACCUAAAUGUGCGUGUGUGUCUAGAUCGUCUACAUGGCCGUGUCUAGAGGAAACCAUAAAAUCUAGUAGUCUAGUGUUUAUCUUGGCAACACAAUUGGCGAAAAGCUUAUAGUUACAAGUAAGAUAGGAUGGCUGUCUGUCUAGCACUUGUGCGUCUAGGAUAAUUAAGGUUGUCAUCAAUUGUGGAGCCUAUUUUCUUUGACUUAAGGGGAGCUAGCUAAUAAUUGUAGUACGUGGUACAGAAAUCUUUUGCAUCUAUUGCCGUGUUAUUACGUCUUGUAGAAUUUGUGUUUGAUAUAUAUUUCGUGCAUCUAGAUGUGCUGAAAAAAAUAAUCCACUUUGACUAAGACAACGUACACGUUGGUCGUACAAGAUAUUAUUGCUUGUUCACGGAUAUACUUCGUCUUCAAGGACUUCUUUGAAAACGUGUGUAGAAGUAGCACCGUUGGCACAAGCAUGCGCAUAUGCCAUUGCCAACCGAACAUAAGAGAAGAUUGAAUUUUUCUGUGAAAAUAUUCGAAAGGUUAUUGCAAAUUAAAUAUAUACGUGCAUACAACAUUCUGAGGAUUGUGCUAUGCUUGUCAAGAUCUAUAUACAUACGACCAAAAUAGCCUUCCAUUUCCGCACUGCAUGCCGCCAAAUUGUGUCCUCGUGCAUCCUGAAUUAUUAUUCUUAGUCCUGAUCAUGACGAAUCUUUGGCUUGCGGACAAGUCCACGAGUCAACAGUCAACUGUAUGCAGACCUAGAGGAUGGUGCUGGUCACCUCACAUGUGUGCAUCAGAAAAGGUUAUUCCCAUCUUUUUCCACGUACGUAUAUAUGUGUAGAGAGAAAAUUGACCCACAAGAAGACACAUUGUUAAAACAGAUUUACUCGUCUGCGGCUACCAGGAAUUAUGCAUUCCCGUUGGUCGACAUGCAUGCUCGGGCAUCCAAUCAAAGAUUGAUGAUCCAGAUUUGUUCAUCUUCCUCCUACGUUUAGCGACACUGUUCAUCUUUGUCCUUAGUUUAGGGUUUAGGGAUUUAAAUGACGGCGGUGGUGGCUAGGGUUCCUAUGCCCCGCGCUGCACUCUUUCUCAACUCUGGCGGGCUUAGAAGAGGGUCAGGAGAGGCUGGCUUAUUGUCCUGGUGGCGGUGGAGGUCACCAGACCAGGUCAGGACGGUAGGACACAUGGGGCCAUGGUCAAAGCUCGCCAAGGAAGGAGGAGAGGAUAGGGAAGUAGGCAGUCGUCGCGGGCGCACCAGGGUUCCACUGGACACUGCGGGCAUCGCCACAGCUCCGUAGCUCCGGUAAAACAUUAAUUUUUGCUAUGUUCACGCUUGAGGACAAGUCUACGAGUCAGCAGUCCACCCUAUGUGACUUGAAGAUGGUGCCGACAUGUCUGCAUAAAAAAACGGUUUUUCCUUUCUUUUUCCAUGUAUGUAUGUACAUAUCUGUAAAAAAUAAUUUUUAUAGGAUAUAUAGGAGAGCUUGUACAUAUCCAUAUAUUCAUCAACUCAGCUCAACCGAAAAACUUGACCUUAACAAAAAUAAAAAAACUUGAGCACACCAUAGAGAAAACUUAGAAAUUUUACUACUCAAAUGAUGUUGUAGAAAACUUGAUAUUCUAUCUCUUCAAUGCUAGGUUGGCCCUAUAUGAGUUUGACAUGCCACAUGAAUGACUUAUGUAUCUCUUUUAAUAAGCGGUUCAUUUCUUAAUUGUAUCCCGUUGAUCAUAUUCAACAUAUAAGAUUCACACAGAUGAUUAAUAUUUUCAGUGAACAUAUUCUAAAAAUCCUAAAAUAUUAAGUACCUAAUGGUGGAGAGACAAGCUCUAACCAUUUUUUGGUUUAUAUAAAAGUAUCAAAUGUUCGGUAUGGUGAAAAAAGGCAAUGGACAACUUUAGUUUUAAAAUUUGUGCCCGAUCAAAAUCAAUUACCACUCAAUUCUUUAUUUAUAUCUUUUACUAGCAAACUUGCCCAUGCGUUACUGUAGGAGAAAAAACUAUCAAAUCUUCAUGUGAAACGACAACAUAAAUGAUACAUAUCUAUUUAUGCAUAUCCAACCCUUAAAGAAUUUGUAGCUGAUUAUGCUUUUCGAUCAUCUAGCAUAGUUGAUUAGAGGGCUGUAUCUAUUAAGCUCUGAGUUGAUUUCGCUAAAUCACCAAGACAAGCAACAUGGUCACAACCAUACGAUGGAUGAUAUUUGUUCUCCAAGAGUUUCCUAAACUUUUAUCUAAAAACUCUAUGUUUCCCAAGUCCUAAAUGGUUAUUGGAAGAAAAAGAGAAGGCCGUCUCCAAUAAUACUACCUAAUAUAUUCACUUCUAAAAAUCAAAAUCAGGUCCCAAUUGGGUUUUUUCGGAACAUUUUUUUUAUCUUUGUGAUCAAUGCUAUUUUUGGUGGUCAUCUAGCAGUAGCAGUAGCAGUAGCAUCUAGCCAUCAGCAGCCCGCCAUCUAGUAGUAGUAGUAGUGGCAUCAGAUCAGUGCUUUUGUUAUGCACUUGUAGUAGUUCAGUAGAACGCAUGCAUACAGUACCAUGCAGUAUACUCUCUCGAAUACGUAGGAGAGAUAUGUAUCAUUAUAUUAAGAAGAAAGAAUUUAUAGUACAACCAACGUGCAACAAGCGCGCUAGGUGGUCAAUAGCUAGAUCGACCUAGAAAAAGGUUCCGUCGGUCGGUACAUAAAUGGGUCAACCAAAAUGUGCUCAAUGUCGCGUCCUAUGAGUCCUCCCGGAAGAGCUCGCACGCAACGCUUGUUGAACGCUGGGAAUAGCACGUCUAGACCCUCCACCUCGCUCGACGAAAGAGUCCCGGAACACAGAGUGUCGAGAAUCCUCCUCGGCGCGGGUGAAACCGCAGCGGUGAGCGAUCCCUAGUCGUUUGUUUAGGAGAACUUCGCCCCGCUUGGAGGCUGGAAUGUGUGCCAACGUCUUGGCUGGUCGAGCAUCUCCCAAGAAGCUUCGCGGGGAUCUUUCACAACUGCUGGCGCUGCAACUGGCCAGUGCGAGACAUGGUCGAUGUGGCAGCUGGCCCCAUCUACUGUUGAUGUAGUAACUCCCGCCACCCGUCGGCGUCUGAGGCAGAGAUCGUCCACAGUGGCGCUGGCGAGCAGUGGUGCCACCCUUCAUAGUCCGCACACCAGCUGCGGACGGGUCCGACCACACAUCUCCAACAAUGACCUCGUUGCUGCCUUUUGGGGUCCGCUCCAGCUCGGCCUAAGCUCGAGGCGGGGCGGGCCGAGGCUACCUUCUCCGUGCAGCGCACGACGUCGAGUUAGCUGAGGUGGUGGCCGUUGACGGAAGGUCCACUGAUGUCAUCCUCCCACUUGUGACGCAUCUGUUGCAGUUUCUGGGGAGGAGGGAACCACGGUGGCGGCGCUGGUGUAGCCUACUAGAGCCGACCGACCACGUUGUGGGUAGCGGGGCCCUAGGGCCACGGUUGUUAGAGCCGGUGGGCAUCCUGAGGUGAUGAGUGGUGCUACCUCGGGCUAGGCUGUGGUGGUGACGCCACCACCGCCAAAGAGGCCUGUACUGAGAGGGAGGCGGAGCAUGGUGGUGCGGGCAAAGAGAAGGCCAACGUAGGCGGAGCUGGCAUGGCGACGGCCGAAGCGGGCAGCUCCAUGCUAGCGCACGCACGUGCAUGGGGAGGAGAGGAGGAGGCAGAUCCAGGAGGGGGCGCAGCGGAACCGGCGACUGGCUCCGUUGCUGCUGGUAGCGGGCAGGGGUUAGGGUUGGGGUGGGGGAGGUGGGCAGGUGAGGUAGGUGGAGGAAGGGAGGGAGGCGGAGGUCGAGGCGGCGGCGUGGGAUCAGGCAGGGUUGGGUUAGGGUCCUCUUCGCGGCUUUCCUGAAGGUUAGUUUUUCGUACCAUGCAGUAUACAAUUGUAGCAAUUCACCAGAAGCAGGCCAAGCAACAAGAAAGCACAGUUAGACGCAAUAGGCAGCAGCAGGUAGCCAUAAACUAGACAUGCCAUCAGCAUGCAGCAGGCACUAGUCUAGCAAGUAAUCCGUCGCGACAUGAGUGACGUGCGCGUACCGGUGCUGCUGUGCUAGCCAUGCCCAUAGCAACGCCCACCAACACCCAUGAAACCUGCGGUAAUCAACAUUAGCAUUGCAUCCAAGUACUCCCGUGUUGUGGCUAGUACCGUGCUAUGCUCACCACCUCUGUUAACACCCAUGAAACCCUAACCACCGUGGCAAGCAAAAAGAAAAAGGCAACGCAAUGGUUAGAUUGAUGGGCUACCUCCUGCACACGUCGGUGCCGACGAUCAACUCCGCUCCAGUACACGGCGGCAGCGUCCUUCAGUUCGGCGCGAUAGGAUGUCCGCGCCAAAACACCACACCAAGCCGGGAAAUAGUGCAGGAUGCUAUGAUAUACGCGAGGUCUACAGCGCAUGAAGUUACACGGAAUGAGGGAGUUUUCUCUAAGACAUAAAAGAUUAGGAGCUAGGAUGAAUUAAGAGUUGUUAGAGAGAGAUUUUUUUCUCAUCUUAAAAAAAUCUAAGGAUUAGGAGGAGAUUUAUUAAGGAACUCUUGGAGAUGCUCAGUUUAGAUUUUUGAUGAGGGGUCAAUGGCCUUGACUGUGUGAGUUGGUUUAGGUUAGUUAAUUGUCUUUAAAAGUCCAGCAUGAUUUUGCUAAGGGAUGAAAUAUUUUUUUAUUCAGAAUACUUGUUUGCUGUGGUUUAUUUCGCUAUUUGAAAAAACAAUGAAAAAUAAUGAUGUACUGGUGUGUGUAGUUUAUUGGACAAAAAAAAUUCAUAAUAUUAUUUACAAUGAAAAUAAUUUUGUUUAAAGAAAAUCCAUUACGGUUUUGUAUUUGUCUUGCCGAAGAGGACCUUCUUACAUGCAUGUCGUCCAAUAGCUACUCGACCCGUCUUGUUUCCGGACAACAGCGUCGAUCGUGUUACGUGAAGGAAGACUCCAACUCUCUCCCGGAUCAUCUCAACAUCUCCGGAACGGAAACUAUUAAUUCCAGAUCAUUGAUCGACUACAAAAAUUGACCACGUACUUAAGCCACUAUAAAUUUCAAAACCAUAAUUUUGAACCUAAACAAAAACAAUUGGAUUGAUUGAUCCAACAAACAACCAAACACAUGACAAUGGCAUGCGCAUACGACGACGCAGUUGGGCAGAGUAUCUGCCGAGGAGACACUGUCACGCUCCCGAACCCAGCGGCGGAGGCCGCCGACGGCAACCACUGCGGGGUGGUGCUCGGGCAGGGCGGACCAGGGCCUAGCAAGAUCCGCGUGCGGCGCCUCGACGGCAGCAAGAUAACUGUGAAUGCCAGCGACGUACAUGUUGUCGACCGGAGCUUCAUGGAGCCCGGCAUGGUCGUGGCGUCGUCGGCAGACAUUGGCGGCCAGCUGGGGAUCGUGAUGUGCACCGCCACGGAGCUCGACCUGGCACGCUUGCCAUCACCGGCAGAUGGCAACGGAAACGACGACGAGAACGCGACGGCGCCGGUUGUCGUCGCUAGGGCCGUGUCCCCGGCAGAGGUGCGACGCGUCGGCGGCGAGUUCUGUGUGGGUGACUACGUCGUGUCAACGACCGCCGCCGGGGAAGAUGAGGAGGCCGGCGUGUGGCUGGGCUGCGUCGUGGAGGUGUGCCUCGACGUGGACGUGGUGUUCGACGACGGCGCCAAGUGCAGGGUCACGUGGGGGCACACCGGCGAGCUGUGGACAACGGCGAGGACCGUGAACAAGGACGGCUCGAGGAACAAAGAUUUGUACCCGGGACAGCGCGUCGGUGGCCCGCCGGGCGUCCUCAGGGCGUCCCGGUGGCUCAAGGGCUACUGGAAACCCAACCAUGGCGGCGAGGGCACCGUGUCCAGGGUGGAGACCACCGGCGUGCUCGUCUACUGGCUCGCAUCGUCGUCGGAGCUGGACACCGCCACACCACCGAACCUGCAGAGUCCUUGCGACCUCACCUUGUUUCGCGGCAACGUCUCGCGAGAGUACAGAUACUGGGGCGUGGGUGACCGGUGCUUCUUUCGCGGCGGCGCGACGGCUGCUAAUUUCCCCGGCGUUUCAGACGAUCACGAUCCGGAGCUAUCGUCUGGAGCCGCAGCCUGUGGAGUGACGACGACGACGACAAGAAGGGCUGCGUACCGGGAGUGGCGGCAGCGGCUAUGGAGGCAGCGGUCAUUAGACGACGACAUGGGGCGGCGGCGGCGGCCGUUGGUGGUGGCCAGCACUCGCACGACGGUGGACGUGGAGUGGCAGGACGGCACGCGGCAGCGGGGCCUGCCGUCGACGUCGGUGGUGGACUGUCAGGGUGAGACCGACCACGAGCUUUUCCCGGGGCAGCACGUCGUCAGGAGAACGCCGGCGACGACUACGGAGGCGCCACCGGAGGAGGAGGAGGAGGAGGAGAAUGUCGGCGUCGUCAGAGGCUACAGCUACAAGGACAAGACUGUGCGCGUGACGUGGGGUCUGCUGGAGUCCGAAAAGGAGGAGGAGACGUUGAGCGCCUACGAUGUUAGCAGCAGGGUCGACGACGACUCUAAUAUGAUUCUCUAUGGAGACAUCGUCGUCCGGCGGCACCGGCAGCUUCCCUCGCCGUCGUCUACUAGUACUAGUGAUGCAAGUGCUGAUGACCUUUCAUGGGUGGGGCAAUACAUCUCUAGUGACGAAGCACAGUGCAUCAACGUCAAAUGGGGUGACGGCAACACGUCCAAGGUAAUUUCUCUGUUUUUUAAGGUGUGUUAUAUUUUGGGUAGGGUUAUUCUCCGAGUUGAACUUGUGGAGCUCAUCAUUUGAAGAAAACAAUUUCAGGUGCUGCUUCGUGAGGUAACCAUCAUCAAGGAGCCAUGUAUUGAUGAUCUCCUUGAUGAAUUAGGUGAGUGGGUAGACGAAGACAGAGAUAUGAGCAACGCCAUUAUUGACGACGCACAAGAGAAUGUCGUCGCUGAUGUAUGUGUAUUAUCUUGAUCCACCAAUUUCUAUAUAUUUCUGAUGCAAAUCAUUACCCACGCGUUGAUCAUCAUGAAAUAAUAUGAGAUAAUUGUUUUGAUUUCAGGACAACAACACAGGCAGAGAUGGAAGUGGUGACGAUUCUGGAAGCGAGAGUGAUGAUAGCCAAGACAAUGGUAGUACAUCGAUGACGAGGAUGAAUCGGAUCCAAGUUAUCAUCAAGGCAGUGUUCCAGCUAGCUGGUAAAGUGUUUGCACAAGGCAGAAUGUAUCUGAAAAUUGGUUUCAAGGAAGGAGAAGCGUCAAGAACAGAACUUACAGCCACAAAGAGCAUCAAUAAUAUGUCCACACACGUGGUCGGCGAUGCUGGUGAUGUGAAGGAGACCACCACUGCGGAGGCAGGCAUCAAUGGAGGUGUUGGGGAGCUCGAGGGUGGCGUUGGCUCUACCAUGGAUGACAAGAUGGAGGCAGAUGCCACUGUUGGUGAUGAUAAGCCAUUUCGCUUCCCGCAGUUUGAGAUUAUGCAGCAAAGCCCUUCAGAUCACCAUUACCUCGACAACACAAAGCAGGUUCUUAAUUUAUUUUUCUCUUAUUCACUUUUAACACAACGCAUAACAAAUGCUGUUGCAUUAGUACAAAGGUCGAUCGGUCUAUUACUAAAAAAAAAACUUAUCCAUUGAAACUUUUACCCACAAAAAAUAGGUAACUACUAGCUACUUUUACCACUCUAUUUGCUAUUCAUAAAUUAUAUAUACUCCGUAUCUAUAUAAGUUUAGGGACAGUUGUCACAGUUUCAAAUAAUUUAUAAUAUUGCUCGUAUCGUCGCUUCCAUGCAUUGGUUCAAUUUUUCAGUGAUACAUACGUGCUAUUAUGUUAUAGGAUUCACUGCUAACUUGUUUUUUGCAAACUGAUCGAUGUGUUACUACAGGUAACCGGUGGACAAAGGAAGUGGACGAAGAGGGUGCAGAAAGAAUGGAAAAUUCUUGAGAACAACAACUUGCCAGGUACAUACUCCCUCCAUAUAUACCUAUAAAUAAAGAAAGUUGUUUUGGAUAAGUUUUUAGUCAAAUAUUGAGAAUAUAAAUCAUGAAUAACUUUUAGAUUGUUGAGUUUGAAAAUAUGAAAACCAUAUAAAUAGAUUUGUCUUGAAAAUAUUUUCAUAAAAAUAUACAUAUACCACUUUUUGAUAAAUAUUUUUUAUAAAAACAAGGAGUCAAAUUUGGGCUUUAGAGCCCAUGUCAUUGUCCUAAUAAACGACUCAGAGAGAGUAAUAGCAGUAAUUAAUUAUGCAGUGAACUCAGUAAUUAACGGAUCGAUUUGAAUUCAUGGAAAUCAUCAAACUGAUCACAAAUUAACGACUAUAUAUUAAUUUGAGCAUUAUUUACGUUUGUUAUCUAUAUAUAUCUAAUGGUUUAAUUGCUCGUCGUACAUGCAUGCAGACACAAUCUACGUUCGGGUGUUCGAGGACCGCAUGGAUCUUCUUCGAGUGGUAAUGGUAGGAGCGAGCGGGACGCCAUACCACGACGGGCUAUUCUUCUUCGACGUCCAGCUACCGCCGUCAUACCCCGCGGAGCCGCCGCUGGUGAGCUACCGGUCUUUCGGCCUGCACGUGAACCCUAACCUCUACCCUUCCGGCACAGUGUGCCUGAGCCUGCUCAACACCUUCGGCGGGCAAGACGUAGCGGAGCUGUGGUCGCCGGAGGCAUCCACCGUCCUCCAGGUCGUCGUCUCCAUCCAGGGCCUCGUGCUCACUGCCCUGCCCUACUACAACGAGCCUGCCUGGUCUGAGGCCGGCACGACGAUGGGCCAACGCAACGAGCUGCCCUACAGUGAGAGCACCUUCCUGCAGAGCCUCCAGACCAUGCUCCACCUCCUGCGCCGGCCGCCGGCGGGAUUCGAGGAGUUCGUCAGAGACCACUUUCGCCGCCGUGGGCAGUAUGUGAUCCGGGCGUGCGAGGCGUACCGGCGGGAUGGUUGCCUCGUCGGCAUGCUCGACGAGGAGGGGAAUCCCACGGAGGAGGCCGGUAGUAGUAGCGAGCCACGACCGUGCUGCUGCUCAGCCGGAUUCCGCCUUGCGCUGCUCAAUGUCUUGCCACGGCUCGUGGACGCGUUUGCAAGUAUCGACGCCUAGCUAAUAAGGGUGUGCUAGCAGCUCCGGCCUCCGGGUGCCACCUCGUCAAGCUACCUUGGACCACUGGCCUUACAUUGGAGACGCGUUUGUAGUGAACGCGCGUCUAUAGUGUAAUUCUUACUAUAGACUUUUGUUCCUGAAGAAGCGUCUGUGGUAGUUAGUAUUUUGUACGGACGCGCUUUAAUUCAAGCGUCUGUACUGGAUCUUAAUACUGACACAUGUUCGCGGUAGGCAUCGUUGUAAAAGAUUUAGUACAGACGCAUAUUACAGACGCAUGUUACAAGCGCGUCAGUAUUAGGCGUGUCUGUAAUAAGUCCUUGCCACAAACUCUGUAUUAUUGACGCACUCACGCACGCAUGUGAUGUCAAUUAAGGCGCCUCUGUAAUGCCCUUUUUUCAUAUGGUGGAAGGGGGUUGAGUACAUAAUGCACAUUCCAAGGUUGUGGUUCUAUAAUGACCUUUUUUCACAGUUGUAAAAGUCUAAUCAUAGUAUUCCAUCCUAGCAUCUGCCCAUUCAAAGAUUGUGGCUAUUCGAAUAUAUUCAAUAAACUCUGUAGAGGUGUACAAAUUUUCCUACUUGAUAGGCACAAUUCCUAACCAUGCACGGUGGCGAGAACAGGUCUAACGAGACCCCAUACCCGAAAGAGCGUUACCUUAGAUUUUGAUAUAACUCUACCACGGCUUCUGAGGGAUUGGAAAACAAAAUGUAGAAGAUCACAUAGCAUCCACACUAAUCAAAUCACGGAAGAUCAUAUCGCAUCCGUAUAAAUAAACAUAAUAUGGGUUCAAACGUGGCCAAAACUCUAAAUCUUAACGUGGAAGAUCACAUAGCAUCCAUGCCAACCGGCAGAAGAUCACAUAGCAUCUGUGCCUGCUCCUGAUAUUCUGCUGUCAACACUGGCCUCCUAGUAUAAAUUAUACUUUUAUCUAAUGGGGAGUGAGAUCCAGUCUACCCAUAUAGACAUGUGGUUGUACAUAAUAUCUCACUAAGCGAGCCCUUGCUAGACGUUAUUGCCAAGGCAAUCUAUCCCCAUAUAAAUUAACCCCACUCGCCCCCUGUCAGGGUUUAGUCUAGUUUUACCAGUUUUAAGCAGUUACAGAGUUAUUAUCCUAAGUUCAUAUAGCUCAUAUCGUAUCAAGGUAACCAUUUACCAAAUCAUCAUUAAUAACAUUAUCAUAUUAGAACUCAUGAUAAAUUAUAGUUCCAAUUCAAAAGGAGGAUUCAAGUAUUAUAAGUUAGGUUUAUCAAUCGGCGGAGAGGGAGUAUGGUGGAGGCUAGAAAAAUGUGGUGGUGGUGGAAAGGAGGUGGUUUAGAGAUGGUAAUGUAUAGCACAUUUACUUAGUGUAAAACAAAAUUUUGGAUUUUUCUUUCGGCCACCAUCGAAAUUACCAAAAUUCGCAACCCUCGCUGUCGCAACAUCCUUGGACGCUCCCUUAUAUAUAGUUGAUGUUCUCCAUGCCUCUCCGCAUCUCCCGUGCGGCUACUAGCCCCACAUUGCAACGUGAGUCAAUCAUCACAACCAUCUGAGUCCUGGCCUGCCCGCCUCUUUCUUUUCCACCAGCAGCUGCAUCGACACCAACCUCUCCGAGCAAGUUGCUCUUCAGGCCGGCACAAACUGAAUCAGGAAAGAUUAUAUUAAUUGCUACCACAAUACAAGCUCGAAGAUGGGUGGCUCAUGCUAGUUCACACGCCAAACCAACAUCGAUUAUGGGGAAACAUUCAGCUCGGUCAUCAUGACAUUGAUAAUUUGCACCAUCUUUAAAUUUGCCGUGCUAGUACAUCAAAUUGGCCAAUUUUUUUUUUGAAGAAUCUCAAAUUGGCCAAUUGAUCGACUGGAUGUCAAUCGCUUUCUCUAUGGCGAGCUUCUUGAGACAUCUUUUCUCAAUGAUGUUCAGGUUUUGUCCACCAAUCAUUUCGUUCACACGUUCUUUUUCUUCCCCUUUUUCUAUAACUGAGGUGAAUCAACCAAAAUAAUCAAUGAUUAGCAAAUUUGUACUGAGCCUUUUAUACAGGCGGUUUUCAAUUCUGGCCGUACAAAUUUACAACACAGACGCAUUAUAAUUAAAACCGCCUGUGCAAAUGUUUUACCCUCGCCGGCUUAGAACCUCUGUGUACUAGUGAAAAGCAGAGGGGUCAAGGAUGCCCCUGCCUGAAAUGUUGAUUCUUCUAAAAAUGUUUGUCAUUUUUUAAAUUGAUGCACUGCUUAACAAGUGGGCUUACCGCAUGCAUGAUUAAAGAUAAUUUAAUUAGCUACAUUUUAGUUAGCGUAGUUUUCUAGUUUGUCGAAAUUGGCCAACUAAUCUGCCUUUGGAAAUCAUUUUCUGAGGCGGUUUCCUUGCCUACUUUUGAAGAUCGCCCGUUUUCUUGAGACAAUGAGUUAGACGUGGGCUAAUUAAAGAAACGACUCUAAAAUCCAUAUCACCCGCCCACCUCUAUACGUUAUUGUUGUACUGGCAUGGCGACAAUUAUAUGUAGAAUUAAUAUUAGCAAAAAUGCUAAAAGACCUUGGAUGAUGUUCUUGCAUUGCUCCGAUCCAUACCCAGUAAGAAUCUGCAUUGAAGACGUCCAGCAAAUAAUCCAAAUCAAUAAUCAUGGAUCGUCUGUCUUUGUCUCUUAUAGUAUAUCUUAUACUCUCCUCUGGUCCUCUUUCACCCCACCUCGUCCUCCUCAACCUUUAUAGUGGAAAAAAGCAAAUGAUGUAAUGUAUAUAUUAAUUGAAAGCAUAAUCGAUCCUUAGAUGACUGGCAAGGAAUAAAGGGACUGCCUGGCGACACGCAAAGUUUAUUCCAGGAACAAUUGUAAAUAAUGCGUCCAAAGUGUGUGUGUGUAUUUGUACUCUCAAAAAGCAUUUGUUUGUUUCUUUAAAAAAAAAGCAUUUGUUUCCUACAAAAGCAGAAACCCAUGUCUUCUGCUAAUAUUGCAGCCUUCAGAAGAUAGGAUUAGAGCUCUGGUGGCAAGGAUCGAGAAGAGGGAACAGAGCUCUGGAGGAACGCCAAGGAAGCUCAAACAACAGAGCCUGGAAAACAGAAGCAACUGAAAAUAUGGUAAGGAUGUGUCACGGACACUAAUUUGUCUUUUGAAGUGAUUUAACAUCAUAUAUAUUACUAUUUUUAUAAGCCACAGGGUCGUUAACUCGAUCUGCCAUACAAUACUUUGUUUGUUCUUGCAUCGAAAGUGUAAUAAGGGCACUCACAAUGCAUGACUCUAUCGUAGAGUCCAUAGCUCAUAGACUCCAUCUUAAGAAACCAUGCUCCCAAUGCAAAGUUUGUAAUAGUAGUUUCUACCGAUAAAAACAUUUAUUAUGCAGCACAAAACAAAGUGAUCUGCUGUGUGGCAUAUCACUGUGUGAUCCACCAUACACUUAACAAUUUCAUACGAGAAACACAUUCAGCAAGUAACUGGCACUGCAAACAUUUGCUUCUAGUAUAUACUCAUAUAUAUCACCAAAACCACAUUCGCAUAUUAUCACUGAAUCGACAAACAUACUAUAGAAAACAUCGAUGAAAGUUUUGAUAAUAGCCUUAAUCAUCCAUUACAAUAUAUAAAGCAAUAGAAACUUAGAUACGAAUUUAGAAGUAAAUUGAUAAUAAUAAUAUUUAGAUAAUAUUAAGCUAUCUAUCUAUCAUCAUCCAGUAGAAAGCCACCCUCCAGAUAGAGCCAUUGACACUUCCAUCUUCUGAUCAUCACCUGUACGGAGAUCGGGUUCCACGGCCACCACUGCCUCGCCGAGAACUAGACUUCUUUAAUCUGUUCAUCCUGAUUCGAGAUUUGGGUAUGGAUUUGGGUUAAAGACUGUCGCUGGGAGGAGAGGGAUGCUAAGGUCAUGGGUGAUUGGGGGCGUACCUCAAUUCGGACCUGGAAUCCUUUUGUACAGCAGGCUGACGAACCUGGCACAGAGAUGACUGGGCGUCCUCUUCUCUGUUCCUAGUCCUUCCCUACUGGUGUGGUGUGGAGUCUGGGGGCGGUCGAUUUGUAUUCCCGUUUGUGAUAUGGAGAGCAGCGACGGCGAUUUGGUGGGGAAGUUGGCUUCCGUGGGAGCUUGCGCGCUUGGCGAUUUGGCGGGGAAGCGUCGCGCGGGAGAUGGCUCACGCGGGAGUGGUCUGGCGUGCGGGAGGAAUUGUAGCGGCGGUGGCGAGCGCAUAUGGGAUCUGAAGACUCGAUCUGCCUCCCCAUAGCGAGCUCGGAGUGGAGUCGAGUACCUCGAAGCAAACGUCGACUCGGAGUGCUAUCUAGACGUCGAGUCUUGAUUUUUUACUCUCUUUCCUCAUUAAAUUGCAUGCCAUGUCAACAAAGUGUCUACGUGGCACCGUAAUUAAUAAGGAUAGACUCCAUGGUGGAGUCUGCACUGUGAGUGCCCUAACUGGACUUGUUUUGGUAGCUUUGGAAAGUGGUAUGGGAUUAUAUACAUCUCAUAGUCAUACAUAGGAUUAAGGAACUACUCCUUUCAAGUUAUGUCCGCAUAACCCUUAAUAUAGAUUUGGUUCAAUUUAUUCCCCAAACAAGCAACUUUGGUCGGUCCAAUUUGCUACUUCACAAGAUUUGGUUUCUUAGAUAUGCAAGAGGACCAGAUAUAUAUUUUGGUGCCUAAUGCUUCUCUAGAGUAACGGUCGAUUAGUUACUUCUAGAUUGGUUUAUAUAUUGCCCCCCCCCCCCCCCCCCCCGUUUCAUGAAUCUGCUUGUGGUUAAAUCGCCAUUCAAGUUUUAUGACACAUGUUAUUCUUCCAAAGGAGGUUUAUCGCCGAAUUGGAAAUACAGGUCAACAACACUUGGUAAAUAAUGCCACAUCAACAAGCUUUCUGCAUCAGCUUAGAGAUCUAUGGGAGAGUCCUAGGGGGACAGUGCUCCGAAUCGAGGCAUUAGCACUAGUGGCCAUCCUUCUCUCCUUUUUCCUUGCUGCCUUUGGGACCUGCCGCCGCUGGUCCAAUAGUUGGAUCAUCCAAAAGGGCUUCCUGGCUGCCAAUGCAUUAUUUCUGUCCUUGGGGACAUACAGCAUUGGCCUAAUGCAGUCUUCACAGGUGAAAAGCGAGAUGUAUCCCAUAUGGGCAGUAUCCUUACUGGCCCUCCUUUGCUGCAUCGACUCGGCCCGCAUGUCCGGUAUUGGUAAUGAGGGCCAGAUUUGGAAGCUGCUAUAUCAGCUUUGCCUCUACUUCGGAUAUGUCGUGCUAAUGAGCAUCUCAACCAUCUCCAGUGAUAUUGGGAACAUCGCCAUCUGUGUGUUGUCUGCCGUGACUUUGAUCAAGGGAUUUCAUAGGUCCAUGGCGGUGUUCGUGCUGCCGAGCUCUAUGCGGAACGCGAUCAGAGAGGUUCCAGCACAUAUCACGGCUAGAAGAUGUUCUUUCGGAGAUCAUGAUGAACGAAGUGAGUUGCCAGUGGAUAUGAAACUUGACAUAAUGGUUGAGGAUGGAGUUGUCCACGAGGUUUCCAUGGGUGAUAUAGCUUCCUUGAGGUUCAGAGAUGCAGACUUGAAGCUAGAAUCAGACCUCCGUGCCUGCAAGGACGUGUGCUUCUCCUUGUCUCUGUCUCAUUUGCUGCGGCGGCGUCUCCUUGGGUUGUCAAGCAGCAGCGCUGAACCAACGGCGACAACAAUGAGCAGCACGGAGCCCUUGGUUGAAAGCUACGAGAGGGCCUCCAAGGUGGUCGAGAUUGAGUUAGCUUUCAUGUACGAUAUGUUGUACACCAGCAACGUAUUCCUCCACUACUACGAAGAGAGAAGCUGUAGCAUCUGGGCAGUUGCUUCGGUUCUUGGGAUCUGUUUUGUUGGGGCAGUGGCUGUCAUGCCCGGGGCAAGGACUACCCGGCAUGCUUCUCCUGGCACCAUCUCUGUGCAUACCACAGUAGCGGACUCGGUGAUCACGGGAGUAAUACUGGUGUCACUAGUCCUACUGCAGGUGUUGCAGUUGCUACGCUGCUGGACCUCGAACUGGGCGAGGGUCACCUUUGCCUGUGAUUUGGUCAGGCAUGUUAGGGAGAGGAAAUAUACUCUAAUACUUGGCCCUGGAAGAAGAGUUAGAAGAAUCCCAAGACAAGGCUAUAGGGUUAGAAGAGCGGAUUUGAGCUUGGUACUGAGGCUGAGAGCAUCUCUUCUCAAGAUCAACUGGUCGGACGACAAGCACUACCUGUGGCAAAAAAAGCUUGGGCAACACUCAGUAGUGGAAUCCAUCAGGCUGCCCGGCUCUCGCUGCCAUCGGCUAUUCUGCUGCGGAUUCCUGGAGCACGGCGCACCGAUGAUGUGCGUUGUCGCCCGGAAAUGUUGGGCGCUGUUUGGACUGCGGUACAUGGGCCGGGUGCUCCAGGAACUGUUUCAGAAGAGCAACACAGGGCGUGCGCUUGAGUUGCAUCCUGAUGUGACGGCGUCCAUUGGUGAUUUUGUUGAAAAGAUCAGGUGCAACGACGUAAGUGCCUGGGCAUCAACCAAGCUUGAAGAAGACAACCUUCGUGGGCAGAUCAAACACUUUUACGGUGACGAUGCCAUGGAUGACAUUUACGUGCCUUGUAUCCUGAUGUGGCACAUUGCAACGUGCUACUGCCAACUGGUGGCGCAGGUGUGGGAACAAGAAAUCGCUGUGGCCGCAGCAGUGGACAACAAGGAUCGCCGCGUGGCCAUGUCUCUGUCCAAAUACUGCGCAUACUUGGUGGUUUCGGUGCCGCGCUUGCUCCCUGGGCGGAGCGACGCUACAGCUAUGGUGUACGCUGAAGUUCGGGACGCCGCAAUCCAGAAUGUAGUAAAAGUGUCGUCGUUGUCGUCAUCAUCGUCGUCAUCAGCUGCCGACAAGCUGUUCGAUUUGGUUCGUUUUCGAAAUUCUUGAUAUUUCGUAAGUUCGCGUUCGUUUUCGUGUCCGACUUUAUCGUUUUCGUUUUCAUAUUUCAAAUGUAAAAGUAGAAAACAAUUUAAGAGUUUUUCGACGGUUUUCAUCCUUAGCUGCUGGCCAUGGAAAUGUCUGAGCACCGCUAUACUGGUGUGGGAUCCUUCGUCUAUAUGAUGGGCGUGAAGCUGGGGAAGGAACUGGUCACAACCAUGCCUGCUGCUGAUCGGUGGAAGGUGCUGGCGGAAUUCUGGGUGAAGGCGCUGGUGUUGGCGGCGCCGUCCGACAACGCGGAGGAGCACCUGCAGCACCUCGCGCAGGGUGGCGAGCUCAUCACCCACCUCUGGGCGAUGCUCUAUCACGCCGGCAUCCGCAAGUGGCAGCUUACUCCACCUCCACAGAUCAAGAUGGGUUGGGAUUACAUCUUUCGGAUUCGCUCCUUGGAAGACCUCUAUAGGCCGCCUAUAGCUAGCCCCCUUCUUCAUUACGAAUGAGCAGUGUAAUAAUGAAUUAAUAUGUGUUCCACUUACCCUUUCCCAGUGUGGUUUCUUUUUUUUCAAUCACAGAAUAAAUAUGAACUCCUGAUCCAUUAUGCUCUCAUAUAUAUGAACUACAGUGUGUAUUUUAAUUAUGUAAGGGAUUUCUAUGUAUGUAGUGCAACAUUAUAUUGUUGCAAAGGGCAAAUUAGCAAACCGUACGUAUCAUCUAUCGUGUGCCCAAGGACUGCUUUACUCUUGCAUGCCAUGUAAAUGAUAUGAUCUCUCUCUAUCUCUCACUCUCGUUGGUAUGGUUCCAAGAGGCUCCAGCUCCUUUCUACAACACAGAGGAGCCAAUAUAUAGUAACUGGUUCUCAGUUUAUUUUAAGACAACACAGAAAAAACAGCCAACAGGAGCUACAAAGUGUGCCCUACCUGCUUCAUCUUUAUCAUGAAUCGUGACUAAGCAGCCUAGCUCUCGUGUAUUGACGCCCGGCAAUCUGUUUUUACUACUGCUGCUCAUCACAAAGCAUCACAGCUCAAGAGACAAUAAAGCGUAUAUAGUAGGUCCAAAGCUGACAACACCCCAUUAUUUUUCUUUUUUACAGUGUAGAGGUGCGUGCUUCACCACCAAAUAAAUUAAUACACUCUGAUUCACAGACGUUCAGGAUUACAAACGCAACAUUUGUCAAAUGGGUUCCUUUGUUAAAUGCAUUUCCCAACGGUUUUUAGCCCACAACGGUUAACAAAAUACCGUUGUUAAAUGCAUUUCCCAACGGGUGGAACAACAAUCCUCAAUUUGAUUUAAUUACUCUGCCGCAUGAUGGGCCCACCAACAAUUAAGAUGGUUAACCAUCAACUUGACAACAGUCAACCGUUAACAACAUCCGUCAGCCUUUCACUUACCAACUGCAUGCUCAUUAGCAAAAAGGGGAUACCUGACUAAACGUGGCCGACAGGAAUAACUUGCCAAUGGUAUACGCUCGAUCGGGUAUUGUCUUUGCCAAUGGCAAGAUACAGUUUAAGAAAUGUUGGCUAUUCGUAUGAUACUAGAAGUGCACCCAUGUAAAUUGAUUGGAAAUGGCCUUAUAAUUUGCUACAGAAAGAUUUUAAAUUCUAACGGAUCAGAAAUUGAAAUUACUCGCUCUCCAUCUUAAAUUACAGAUUCUUUUGGCUUUUCUAGGUGUAUAUGUGGCUAAUUAUAAGCUAUGUCUGUCCAAUAAUAUGUUUGCAAACCGAGGGAGCAUAGUGAAAGUUGACGAGAUAGGAAAUGAUGUAAACACUAGCCACGCAGCGUGGUCACCGUGCUGCGGAUCUGUUAACAAAGCAGAUUACCUAGGAGAUGAGCAAAGAAUAUAGAAAGGUUGUCAGCAGCCAACAACACGCAAAGGGUAUUCCUUCCAGCAGGAACGAAGUGUAUAUAUAAAGCAUCCAAAUAAAGAUGUCUGCCCGACACAUAUUGUGAAACUUGUAUUAUUAUAUUCUCAUCAUCAAGAGCUAGCUUAGCAUUGUUAUAUACCUAUUUUGAACAGGAAGCUCAGCUCUACUUCAAACAUUAGCACAGAGAAUUUAGCUAGAAGAAGCAGAGGAAUGCAAUCUGUAGAAUGUAAUUGAUCAACUGGACAACCUUGUAUUGAUCAUGUGUGGUUACAUAUAUAGAUUACAGAGAGUGGCCUGUGGCCAUGACAGCUAUGCGCGAGCGGUCGAGCAGUCUAAGCGGGAGCGCAGACGUCGUAGAGGCCGGGCGCGCAUGCAGCGAUGGAGCGUGCUCUGCGCAGCCAUGGGCGCAGCGAGUGCGCGCCGUGCGUGUUCAGUUGCAGAUCCUGAAGACACGGUCAGUCCUUAGCCGUUGGCAAUGCUGAUCCGCUGACACCCCCCUGCAGUCUCAACGUUGGGUGCUUGGAGGACGGAGAGACUGUCUCUGAAGUCGAAGAACAGCGACGAUGGGAGUCCCUUGGUGAAGACGUCGGCAUGCUGUUGCGCACUGGGAACGUGAGUGACACGGAGCUCCCCAAUGGCAACUUUCUCCCGAACAAAAGUGUAUGUCCAGCUCGAUGUGUUUGGUGCGCCGGUGAUGAACGGGGUUGCGCGCCAUGUACACGGAGGAGAUGUUGUCGCAGUAAGCAAUGGUCGCCGAAGGAACUUUGCAGUGCAGCUCUCCGAGCAGGUGACGAAGCCAGGAGCACUCCGAGACAGCAUUGGCGAUGGCGUGGUACUCCGCUUCUGCACUUGAUCGGGACAUCGUGGUUUGUCGCUUGGAUGACCACGAGACGAGGGAGUCGCAGAAGAAGACACAGAACCCGGACGUGGAGCGGCGUGUGUCCGGGCAGCCAGCCCAGUCGGUGUCGGAGUAUGCGGUGAUCGUCGGCGUGGAGGCAGUGCGCAGUUGUACACCCAGCGACAUCGUACCCUUGAUGUAACUGAGUAUGCGCUUCAGCAUCGUCUGGUGCACGUCCCGUGGCGCGUGCAUAUGGAGGCAGACUUGUUGCACGGCAUACGCGAUGUCGGGGCGUUGUGAUCGUCAGGUACUGCAAUGCUCCGGCGAUGUUGCGGUAGACGGUGAUGUCGUGGAUCGGCUUGCCGUCGGCAGUCGAUGCUUUUGGCUUGGCGUCGGCUGGUGUGUCGACCGGCUUGCAAUCAGCCAUGCCAGCACGCUCGAGGAGAUCCUCAGCAUACGACGAUUGCGAGAGGAAGAAGCCUGCUGCAGUGCGCUGCACGUUGAUGCCGAGGAAGUGCCGCACGGGUCCCAUGUCCUUGACAGCGAAGGCAUCGUGAAGCCGCGCGAUGAUGUGUCGGAGAAGCGCAGUAGUGGAUGCCGAGAUGAUCAUGUCAUCGACAUAGAGGAGGAGAUACGCCAUUGCCCCAUGCCUGUUGUAGACGAACAGGGACGUGUCUGCCUUGGACUGGAUGAAGCCGAGACUGGUGACAUGGCCGACGAAUCGAUCAAACCAUGCACGAGGAGCUUGUCAGAGUCCAUAGAGCGAUCGUGACAGGAGGCAGACAUCAUCGGGACGGUGGGGAUCGACAAAGCCUGUAGGUUGUUGGCUGUACACCUUUUCCUGCAAAGUGCCAUGAAGAAAUGCGUUGGAGACGUCAAGCUGGUGCGCCGGCCACUUGUUGGUCGCCACGAUCGUCAGGACGGUGCGGAUGGUCGCCGGCUUGACCACCGGCGAGAAGGUUUCGCCGAAGUCGACUCCAGGACGUUGAUUGAAGCCACAAACGACCCAUCGAGCUUUUGUAACGCUCGAGGGUGCCGUCGGGAUUCAUCUUGUGCUUGAAGACCCAUUUGCCACUGAUGACGUGAGCACCUGGCGGUCGAGGUACGAGUGUCCACGUCUUGUUGGCGAGCAACGCAUCGUACUCCUUCUUCAUGGCGGCGUACCAGUGCGGAUCCUUGACUGCAGACCGUAUGCUCCGUGGAAUCGGAGAGAGAGUCUCGGGGACCACCAUGGCGUACUUGGGAUUUGGUUUAUGGAUCCCAGCACGUCCGCGGGUGAUCAUCGGAUGUGGAGGCGGUUGAUGCAGAUCGGCGGCAGCCGUCGGUUCUGGAGAGGUCGGCGGGCUUGGCGCAGUAGGUGGUGGUGAUGUUCCGCGGGAUGAACCAUGUGAUGUCGAUGCCGAAGAGCUGCCCGAGACGAUCGAGUUUGUCGUUGAAGGUGUGGAUGGUGGCGGGGAGUCGACGAUGUACUGGGGUGGCGUUGAAGGCGGUGAAGGCGAUCGUUGGUGUACAGCGUGACGGGCGGCACGGCGAGCCCUGGGAGCAUGUACUGGUGGAUCAUCGUCGACGUCGGAGGCCGGCGCAGCUGGUGUUCUGGUGGUGUCGCGGAAGGGGAACACGGCUUCAUCGAACAGAACAUGCCGUGAGGUAAUCACGCGGCCCGUCGCGGGAUCGUAGCAGCGAUAACCCCGAUGGUCAGCUGGGUAGCCGAUGAAGACGCAGGCGAUCGAUCACGCGGCGAGCUUGUGGGGCGCCGUGGCGAUCGUGUUGGGGAAGCACCUGCAUCCAAUAACGCGAAGCUCGUUGUAGUCGGGCGGCGUGCCGAGCAGCAGCGCGUACGGGGUUGCCAUUCCCGUGGCACGGCACGGUCGCCGGUUGAUCAGGCAGGUAACCGUGGCGAGGGCCUCGGCCCAGAAUGCCGAAGGAGCUGCACUGUGAAUCAGUAGAGUACGAACAUAGUCGUUAGUGCUUCGGAGUACACGCUCGGCUUUCCCAUUCUGCUGAGACGUGUAUGGGCACGAGAGGCGAAGCUGAGUGCCGUGAGAAGAGAGCAGGAGGCGCAGUGCUGUAUUGUCAUACUCGCGGCCAUUAUCAGUUUGGAAAGCAAGAAUGGGUAAACGAAACUGAGUAUGAACAUAAGCAAUAAACGCUCGAAUGGUUGGCAAAACAUCAGAUUUAUUGCGAAGAAGGAUUGUCCACACGUAAUGUGUAUAAUCAUCAAGGAAAGCCACAUAGUAUUUGUAUCCUGAAUGACUGUACACCGGUGACGUCCAGACUCCAGACAUCAGAAUGAAUCAAUUGAAAAGGGAAAAAUGUUUGUGAUGCUGAAUCAUGAAAUGGCAGUCGAGAGUGUUUACCCAACCGACAAGAGGAACACGAAUGCUCAUCUGUUUUAUUACAGCUAAAAGAAAAAGACUGAAGAAUUUGAUUGGUGACUGGAAGGCCUGGAUGUCCAAGUCGCUGGUGCCACAGAGACGCCGCUAGUGAAGCAUGCAGAGCCUGGUGUUGUGGGAGGCGAAGAGGGUAGAGAUCACCGCUGCUAUCACAUCGGAGCAUCUCCGCCCUGGUACGAAGAUCCUUGAUGGAAAAGCCAGAAGGGUCAAACUUGAUUGAAACAGCAUUAUCACGAGUUAAGCGCCUAACUGAGAUUAAGUUCUUAAUGAGGGAAGGGGAAAUAAGAACAUCAGUGAGGUGUAGUGGGGAGGUGGCAGUGGGGAUGAUUGAGAGUGCUCGAUGAGUGGCCGGCAUGCGAGCACCAUUCCCGACUGUGAUGACAGAAGAAGAAGGAUGAAGAGAGCUGGGAAGGACGUUACCGAGAGAGGAUGACAUGUGGGACGUUGCCCCGGUGUCGAAGAACCACUCGGAUGUGCCGGGCGACUGCUGUGUUGCGCUGGACGCCUGGAGCGCGGCGUGGAGCGCACUGGGGUUGAAGACGUUGGAGUUGUUGGCGGCGGCAGUGAUGGCCUGCUGCGGCUGGAACGGCGGCCGGGGACCCAGAACGUCGCUCCCUGGGGCACGGAACGGCAUAGACCAUGCCUCUACCAUGCCCUGCCAGGGUUGUAGCCGGCAGUCCAAGGCGCGGAGGAGUUGUUGGCGCCGCCGUUGUUGGUGUUGGAUCGGUUGACGGCGCCGCCGUUGUUCCAGUUGCCGCCGUUGCCACGUCGGCGAUUGAAGCGAUUGUUCCGGUUGCCGCCGCCGUUGCCGUUCCCGGCGUUUCCGGAGCCGCCGUUGCGGUUGUUGUUGGUGCGCGCCGCGGAAAACCCGGAGGAGCCGUCCUUGGUGCCGGAGGAGGUGGACGAAGAGCCGCCGUUGGUGGCACCAUGGGAGACGGUCAGGGCCUGGCCUGCCUCGACGGUGGCGUCAUGUUGGAAGCUGAGCUCUUCCAAGAUGAGGAAGGAGCGGGCGCUCUGGAACGUGUGCGGCGGCGACUUGGACGUGAUGACGGGCUUGACGUUGCGGAAUUGGGGUUGAGGCCGCGGAGGAGAUUGAGCACCUGACUCGGCUCAGAGACGGGGUGGCCGAUGUCGCGCAGCUGGUCGGCGAUCCUCUUGAGCUUGGUGCAGUAAUCGUUGAUGGAGAGGUCGCCUUGCACCAUGGAACGCAGCUCGGCCUCAAGAUACACCGCGCGCUGCAUCUCAUUGUCCUGAAAAAUCCCCUCGACUGCAUGCCAGAGGGUGAACGCGUCGUGGCGGUCACGACGGAUGAUGUCAAAGACACCCUUGGAUACGGUGGCGAGUAUCCAGUUGAUGACGCAGGCGUCGACCAUGCGCCACUCGCCAUCGCGAUCGGCGUCGGGCGUCGUCGUGCGGACGUGGCCCUUGAUGCCGAACUUGGCAAGAGUGGAAUCGAAGAAGUGCCGCCACUGGCCGUAAUUGCCUUCGUCGAGGUCGAGGAUGACCGAGACAUGGUGGCGGAUGGAGAGGGUUUGGAUUUGAGAGGCAGAGACGGGGACGGCGGCGAGGCCAUCAUCGGAGGAGUCUGAAUGAACAGAGGAUGGAGCCAUGGGAGCGGAAGCGGAGGAGGAAGCAAAAGGAUUUGGGGAGGUCCGAGGAAUAGGCUGAUACCAUGUAGAAUGGAAUUGAUCAACUGGACAACCUUGUAUUGAUCAUGUGUGGUUACAUACAUAGAUUACAGAGAGUGGGCUGUGGCCAUGACAGCUAUGUGCGAUUGGUCGAGCAGUCUAAGCGGGAACGCAGACGUCGUAGGGGCCGGGCGUGCAUGCAGCGAUGGAGCGUGCUCUGCGCAGCCGUGGGCGCAGCGAGUGCGCGCCGUGCGCGUUCAGUUGCAGAUCCUGAAGACGCAGUCAGUCCUUAGCCGUUGGCAAUGCUGAUCCGCUGACACAAUCAACUCCAGAGGCAAGAGUUUAGUUAUGCGGCGGUACCUUAAACUCCUAAGUUGCCAGAUUACAGACGACAUAGCAGUAUCCAUCUGCCCCAAGAUACCAGCUAGCAUAGGAUAUAUGAGGCCGUUGCAGCAAUAUGAGACAACUACAUUGUUCGUAGUAAAGGGCAAGAAGGACAAGCAGGGGUAAACACCGGUGAUGCUGGUGAAGUUUCUCUGGCAGUAGAUUCCUCGUAGAAGAAGCCGGCCACAGUUUGGGGCAUCAACUUAUGGUUGUCCAAGAUGAGACGUUUUUAGGAGCGAUAUAGACACAUUUUGCAGCAGAACAGGGAGCGGGCAUGGAGGUGGCGGAGGAUCUUGACAAAGACUUUGUCCAUGAGGCUAGCGUGCAUUCCUCUUGUUGGGGCCAGGGCCUCCUCCAUUUCUUUUUGAAACGAACCGGCAGGAGAGCUGCCUGCUAUAUUAAAAAGAGGAGAGUGCCAAGACAGGCAAAAUACAAACACGAAAAAAGCAGCACCCACAGAGGGUGAAAGGAGAAAAAAUAUACACAGGAGUGCCAAUCAAAACUGUAGACGGUGGUGAUUCACGAAAAGGUCCAGGUGCUUUGCUCCUGCCAUGAUCCACACUCUCACCUCCAUUUCAUCAGUGUGCAUGCGGUAAGAUGAGAGCUUGCUUAGUAAUGAUGAUAUCACUGAGGAGGAAAAUAAUCCAGUAAAGAUCGACCAGUGAAGUCCACAAACUCAUACCAAAGUGCAACUUUAACAACCAUUAACAAUUUUCAUGGUACGACCUCAUGUAAAUUUAGAGUAGCACCACAUAUGUAUAACUCAAACUAGAGUACCAGUUAAUGGAGCUGUAACCAUUAUAAUUCUAGCUAAAUCAAGUAUAAUCAUCCCACUUAUAAUCAGUACACGAGCUCGGAGCUUCUUGCAUAGAAGACAUACAAAGAUCAUUAAGAGGGACUACAAUUACAAAGUUUUGAAGGACAAAGAGGGUGGAGCAGCUACUGGGUUUUGAAGAUAGAAGCCAUCAUCAUAGCUAAGGCUAGAAUUGAGUUGGUUAUUGACUUGAAGGCAGCAAUUCCUUCUUCAUAGGAGUUUUUAAAACAAGCACCAUAAAACCUAUGAACUUGUUCUUGGUAGUUAGGCCAGUUGUAGUAAACUCGCACACGGCCAUUGAACACAACAUAUCAGGGACAACUCAUCUCAAAUCUGCCCAACCCAAACAAGAUGCCUCAGUUUUCAGAAAUUCAAAAUACAAUAAGGAUUGGUGGCACUAGAGCAUACGGAACAAAAAAGUAUAAUCAAGCAAGCACUGGAUAGAUAAACUAGUUUAAGGUAGAAGCAAUGGGCCUAUUUGUUUGCCUAGGUAUAAUCAAGUAAGCACUUGACAAUUAUCAAGCCUAGUUGCAUAGAACACUGAACAUAUGUAAAAACCAAGACAUCAGCAAAAAACUAACCAGUGCCACCUCCUAGUUCUUUUCAUCAUCGUCAUUGGCCUAAUCAGAUCUUGAACGCUAGAAUGUUUCUUGUAUACCUCAUGUUCAAGCAAUGACCCAAAUAGUGAAGUGAAUAGGAAAAGACGAGAAAGGAGACCAGCGGAUCAGAUCUGUCACCUCUGCCAUGACACACAAUAGACACGAACACCAAUGCCACCGUUCUCCACCGGCAAGGCUUGCCGACUAGCUUCCAAAAGGACGCCGGAGCCAACAAAACACACCGGGGAUCCUCCUCCUCCGCCGCCACCACCACUAGUCUAAUUGGCAUGGAUUUGUUUACACUUGAAGGGGAAAUAUCCAAUAUAGGUCAACCUAUAGGGCAUCCACAUAGAGAAUAUAAUACUAUAAUGACAACAAAUACAUGUCAAUACAAGGCAUCUAUCACAAUGGUAAAGACCUUGCAUUCCUUCAUCUAGAUCCUAGGUUCGACUCCGAGGCAUUGAGGUUUUUUUGAAUUUAUUAAACCCAGGUAGCACAAAAGAUACAAGUGACUUGGAAAUUGUUGCGUCCCUGAUGGUGGUCACUAGCGACCAUUUCCGACCACCAAUUAUACUCCAAAACAUGAGAAACAAACAUAUUUAUGGCACGUAUGCGUAUACUAUUGACCUAGUUCCACUUGUAUCUGAGAAAAUAUGUUUUGUACGAAACAUCUCUGGAAACAAGUGGAUAAACAAAAUCCAUUCAAAAUGCACAAACGAGAAAGUGUAACGCCAAGGAACCAAGCAAAGGCCCAUCCAAUCGUCCAAACUGGGAGAAGACCAACGUGGUAGGCAUCUAGGCCCAACCAAGAGCCCACUAGAGCAAGGCCGUGGUGAUAGGAGGAGCCCAUAGUGCAGCCAUGCCUAGGGUGUGGCCGCAUCGCCCCAAGCUCCCCUCGGGCCCAUCUUGCUCUGGCAGUUGCAUGCCAUCAUGCAACAUAUGUCCACGACGGUUUCCUAUUUUACAUGCACAAAACCGACCAUUAGCUCACCUCACAACACACACUCAUUUGGAGCAAAGCACACCACAUAUCUCUUGCAUUCAUUUAGUUGUUAGCUUAGUAGUAUCUGAGAGCAUGGCAAACUACUUGGAGAGCUUGUCUCCUUGGAAGAAAAGAGCUACUUGGUAUGAAUACUAUGAAGAAUUCUUCCAUAUUCAAGUUCUUAUAUCAUUCAUAUUGUAGUGCAUAUGAACUAUAGUAUAGUUGUUAUCAUGUUAUGAUCAUGAUUUAUGAACUAGCAUAUAGUUUUACCUGGCGUAGAGCCAUUUCUCAAAUUGCCCACAAUACCGAGCGGAGGAUGUAUACGAGGCAUCAUCAUUUUACUCCACAGGGUGGUGCAUUCAAUUGCCGAGGCAGCAAGCAAGCUAGCAGCCAUUUACUCUUUGGCAACCAAGGGAAUCACUGCAUGCAAAUAGUCCCCUUCAUACACACAUUCUUCAGGAAUUUACUCUUUGGCAACCAAACAAUGUCACUCCAAACAGACGUGCAAAAUUUCAGCGGGAAACGACUCUAGGAAUCUUAGCCAAAAAUGGUUAAGUAGGACUCAUGGCUGGUUGCGUGGUGGUAAUCGUCAAGUAUAGUUAAUGCGAUUUGCAUGUCCCCCGUAUUCUCCUUGGUACCUGUACCCGAGGCUCUCACGCCGGAUAAAACAGGUUUGGAUGGAGUAAUUCAUAUGACUUGUAUGAGUAGAAUUAAAGCUAAGUUGAGGUGUGUUGGAGUAAGCCUGACAGAUGGGAAUCGCUGAUGGAUGGUCAGGAGCAGCCCAAGCCAGGGAAUUCGGAGCUGAAUGGUGGUGGCCGUUCGGGGUGGCGUGGUGACCGCGCCCAAGUUCCGGAGCUUUUCUGAACCGUGUGUUUUCAGGGAUAUGUAUCGCGUGUGUUUUCUGUUUUGAGUUUGUUAGACGUGUGCGUUAAGCUCGGGUAUAAGAGCUGGGUGUGUGAGGUGUCGAGUAUAUCUCGUGUAAGCCGGUUAGGCGAAUUGUAUCUUGGUGAAACAAAGGUGAAAAAAGGCGCUAACCCCGGGGGUCACCUGGGCGUUCCCAAAAUCCUGUGUUCAUCUGUUCUUCUUUUUCUUCUUCAAAUCAAUCCACAUAUAGUGUGUAAUCGUGAUCCUGGACUAACAUCUGGUAUCGGAGCGAUCGAUUGCACGCGGAGUCUCACUUUUGAUCGAGUCAUGGCGCUUGUUGUCGGAGGAACCGGCAGCGGGAGCGGAGACGGUGCGCGCGGCGGCGGCGAGGCGCGUCAAGUGUACCCGUCUCUGACGAACACGAAUUACACCAGUUGGUGUAUUCAUGUUCAAGCAAUCAUGGAGGAUCGUGACGAGUGGGAGGUCGUGGAACCAGAUCCGGCGGCGGCGGCGCCGACGGCGGAAGAGGCGGCGAAGCUGAAGACGAAGGACAAGAAGAUCAAAGCACACCUUCUUCAGUGCAUCCCCGAUGACAUCUUGAUGCAGGUGGCCAAGAAGAAGACGGGGAAGGAGGUGUGGGAUUCAUUGAAGGCGAGAUUCGUUGGAGCGGAACGGGUCAAGGAUGCGUGGCUUCAAACGCUCAAGAGCGAGUUCGACGGUGUCCGGAUGAAGGAUGACGAACCGCUUGAUCAGGUUGUUGCAAAACUGUCGACGCUGUCAGUAAAGGUCAACGGCUUGGGGGGGAGUUUGGACGAUGCGGCGUUGGUGAAGAAAUUGUUUGACAUCGUCCCUGAUCACUACCUCACAGUUGUGGCUGGGAUCGAACAAUUUUAUGACCUGAAGACGAUUGCUUUCGAUGAGGCAGUCGGGUGCCUGAAGGCGUUUGAGGAGCGCACGUCGCGGCGUAGCGGUGGUGGCGCGAAGACCCCGGUCGGGCAAGUACUACUUACCCAGGCGGAGUGGGAGGCCAGGCAGAAAUCUGCCGGUGGUGACUCGUCCGGGAAGGUGAAGAAAGGAGAGAGCAGCAGUCGAGGUCGAGGCCGCGGCCGUGGUGGUGGAACAGGCGGUCGCGGUGGGAGAACUGACAGCGGCGAUGGCACAGGAAAGCGUGACAAGAGUCACAUAAAAUGCUUUAAGUGCCAUGAACACGGGCACUAUGCUAAUCGAUGCCCGGGAGGCGAGAAGAAGGCUGAGGAAGCAAAUCUAGCCAAAAUCGACAGAGAGCCGGCGGUGCUGCUGGCAGAAACUGUGUUGUCGGACAGGCUACAGUACUCUAAAGAUUUCCAGGUUUAGAAGCUUUACCUAAAUGAAGCCAGGGUUGUGCCAGAACUUCAUCUCACCGAUGGAGGUGAUCCAUCAGGUAACUUGUGGUACUUAGACAAUGGUGCAAGCAACCACAUGUCUGGUGAUCGUCAGAAAUUCAAAGAUCUGAAUCUAGCAGUAAAUGGCAAGGUACGUUUUGGUGAUGAUUCAACUAUUGAUAUCUGUGGGAAAGGUACAAUCGUUUUCCAAGGGAAGGGUGGUGAUCAGUGGGUAUUGUCAGAUGUUUACUAUAUCCCUAAGCUUAAAAGUAAUUUGAUUAGUCUGGGUCAACUGACUGAAUCUGGUUAUAGAAUUUUGCUUGAUGAGAAUUUGCUUGAGAUAGUAGAUAAACAUUCUGACAGACUGGUUAUGAAAGUACCUAGAGCUGGAAACAGACUUUAUAAGAUUGAGUUGAAUGUUGUUGUGCCAAGAUGUUUGAUGGCCAGUAUGGAUGAUAAUGCUUGGCUUUGGCAUGGGAGAUUAGGCCAUGUAAAUUUCAGGUCUCUGAAACAGUUGGUGGGGAAAAGUAUGGCUACUGGUGUUCCUGAGAUCAGUCAUCCUGAUCAAAUCUGUGGUGACUGUCUGGUAGCUAAGCAGACAAGAGCAGCUUUUCCUAGAGCAUCUCAGUGGCAAGCGGAUGAGAAGCUCAAAUUGGUUCACAUAGAUUUAUGUGGCCCAAUUACACCUGAAACAGCUGGAGGUAACAAGUACUUCAUGCUGUUGGUUGAUGAUCAUUCAAGGUGGAUGAAUGUGCACAUGCUGAAAAGCAAGGAUCAAGCCCUUGCUGCAUUUGUAAAGUACAAAGCACAAGUUGAAAAUGAGUCAGACUGCAGAAUCAAGAUUGUGAGGUCUGAUAGAGGAGGUGAGUUUCUGAACGGUGAGUUCACUGGUGUGUGUGAUGAGGCUGGCAUCAAGAGGCAGUUCACAGCACCAUACACUCCUCAACAAAAUGGAGUGGUAGAGAGAAGAAACAGAACAGUGAUGGAGAUGGCAAGGGCUAUGCUUAAAAGCAUGAAGGUGCCAGGGAGGUACUGUGCAGAGGCUGUCAGGCACUCUGUGUUUCUUCUUAACAGAUUGCCAACAAAGGUGUUGGGUAACAAAACUCCUCAUGAAGUCAGGACUGGGAGAAAACCAAGUCUGGGACAUUUAAAAGUGUUUGGCUGCACUGCAUAUUCAAAAAUUGUGAAGCCUCACUUAAAGAAACUGGAUGACAGAAGCAGGAAGCUGGUGUACUUUGGAGUGGAGGAGGGGAGUAAAGCAUACAGGUUGUAUGACCCUACCACUAACAAAAUUGUAGUUAGCAGAGAUGCAGUAUUUGAAGAGAAGCUUGUGUGGGACUGGGUCAAGCAGUCAGGCAGUGGGAACUCUGUUGAAUUCAUUGUUGAUGGUGAAUCAGCCACUGAGGUGUAUGGUGGUGGUGAAUAUGUUGAGGAACAGGAGUGGCAGGAACAGGUAGCACAAGAUGAAAAUCAAAGUGCAAAUCUGAAUGAGCCAAAUCUGUUUCAGUGGUCAGAAGAUGCAGUGAUACAGUCUGAUAUCCCUGAAUCUUCACAGGCUGGUUUCUCUACACCUCAACCUGUGCAAGUUGAAAUUGAUGCAGUAACACCAUCUUCUGUGAAUGAGAGUGGUGCCAUGAAAUUCAGAAGCCUGGAUGAGAUAUAUGAUGAGACCUAAGAAGUUGAGCUCAUGGAUUCUGAUGUGGAGGCAUUGCUCGUUGAAACUGGUGAACCAGCUAACUACAGUGAAGCUGCUUGUCAUGAGGAAUGGAAAAAAGCUAUGGAUAAGGAAAUUGAAUCCAUAGAACAGAAUAAGACCUGGGAACUGGGCAAGAUACUGUCAGGGUGUUACUGGCUUAUGCUGCAAACAAUGGCUAGGGAGUUCAUCACUUGGAUGUCAAAUCAGCAUUCUUACAUGGGGAAUUGGAGGAAGAAGUCUAUGUAUCUCAACCUAAGGGCUAUCAGGUGAGAGGUAGAGAGCAGGAGGUGUACAAACUGAAUAAAGCUCUCUAUGGACUGAAACAAGCCCCUAGAGCUUGGAAUGUGAGAUUAGACAAGAGCCUUAAGAAGUUGGGUUUUAGAAGAUGCUUGAGUGAACAAGCUGUCUACACAAGGGGAGCAGGAGACAGAUCAGUCAUUGUAGGUGUGUAUGUAGAUGACUUGAUUGUUACUGGUGGGAAUACUGAUGAGGUCAAGUUGUUCAAGACACAGAUGCUGAAAGAAUUUGAUAUGUAUGAUCUGGGCUUGCUAUCCUACUGCCUUGGGAUUGAGGUAGAUUAGAAAGAAGAUCAUUUCACAGUCAAACAGAGUGGAUAUGCUAAGAAGGUCCUGAUGGAGUUUGGGAUGAUGGAGUGCAAUCCAACAAAAGUUCCAUUAGAUCCUGGAUGUAAGCUGAAUGCUGACAAGGAUGGUCAGAGAGUAGAUGCAACUGAUUAUAGAAGAAUGAUUGGGUGUCUGAGAUAUUUGUUGCACUCUAGACCUGACUUGUCAUACUCUGUUGGGUUGGCUAGCAGAUUUAUGGAGAAGCCAACUGUUAUGCAUGCCAAGGCUGUGAAACAGAUUCUGAGAUAUUUGAGAGGCACCAUUGAUCUGGGACUUGUCUAUGUCAGAGGUGGAAAUGCAGACAAGCUAGUGGGGUACACAGAUAGUGAUCAUGGUGGAGACACAGUUGAGAGGAGAAGCACAGGAGGUAUGGCUUUCUACCUCAAUGAGAAUUUGGUGACCUGGUGCUCAUAGAAGCAAAAGACAGUGGCCCUGUCUUCCUGUGAGUCUGAGUUUAUGGCAGCCACAGCAGCUGCAAAGCAAGCUUUAUGGCUGAGGAAUUUGCUCAGUGAAAUCACUAGAAGAGAAGCAAAGCCUGUCAUACUCUAUGUGGACAAUAACUCUGCAAUAGCUCUCAUGAAGAACCCUGUUUUCCAUGGUAAAAGCAAGCACAUUGACUUGAAGUACCACUUCAUCAGGGAGUGCAUCGAGAGAGGACAGAUCAUUGUCAAGAGGGUGUGUACAGAAGAGCAGAAAGCUGAUGUGUUAACCAAGACCAUGACUGCGGUGAAGCUUUCAGUUAUGAGGCAUUUGAUUGGUGUCAGGGAAGUUGGCACUUGUUAGGCUUAGGGGGAGUCUGUUGGAGGAAGCCUGACAGAUGGGAAUCGCUGAUGGAUGGUCAGGAGCAGCCCAAGCCAGGGAAUUCGGAGCUGAAUGGUGGUGGCCGUUCGGGGUGGCGUGGUGAUCGCGCCCAAGUUCCGGAGCUUUCUGAACCGUGUGUUUUCAGGGAUAUGUAUCGCGUGUGUUUUCUGUUUUGAGUUUGUUAGACGUGUGCGUUAAGCUCGGGUAUAAGAGCUGGGUGUGUGAGGUGUCGAGUAUAUCUCGUGUAAGCCGGUUAGGCGAAUUGUAUCUUGGUGAAACAAAGGCGAAAAAGGGCGCUAACCCCGGGGGUCACCUGGGCGUUCCCAAAAUCCUGUGUUCAUCUGUUCAUCAUUUUCUUCUUCAAAUCAAUCCACAUACAAUGUGUAAUCGUGAUCCUAGACUAACAAGGUGGCGGUCAUCGUGCCUUUGGGUGUGCCCAAGUCCUUUACCUGUAUCCAUCGGGUUAGGGACUAGCUGGCUUUUCUAGUAGUGGUAAUUAAUGACUAGCUGGCUUGAAAAAACCGGUUCUGCCAAAUCUGGGAUCUGACCAGUCCGAUUUUCCCAAACAGGGUCCCAAACCGUGCUCGACGUGCCUCCAUCCAAAGCUCCAUCGGCCCCUGCCUCUUGCACCGUAGGAUCUGGCGGAUCCCUAGUUUGGGGUGGCCUUGCAUGCACGGCUGGGGCGAGCAACUCGAGGGAGCCGACCAUACCUCCCGCGUUGAAGCCGCAGCCAUGGACGAUCCCUGGUGCACCAUCUUGCUAACCUCCGGAGCUAGGUGUCUCUGCUGACAACAGCUUAUGGAGGACCAUCCUGGCUACGCCUUCCAGAGCUUUGGCACCGACCAGGCUAAAGUCCAUUACAGUCAAGCCAACACCUGUGUCGAUGUCCUCUACCUGGGUCGCUGGCAGUCACAAGAUAGUGUGGAGGAGGCUGAAGUUGACAGAAGGCAGCGCUGCAAGGUUACCGGAGGAAAAGAAUCAAGGUGCCAAGCAGCUAGCCAUCUCUCUGCCUACCAGGUGUUGGAAGCUCGCGGAGUCUUCGCGAGCUUAUGCUCACCUGGAGCCUCCGCCUUCACAGUGGUGGCAAACAACAAGGAAGAAGUAGUGGUGGCACAAGGAUAGGGAGGAUGGCUGUGACAAGUCCAGGCGGGCUAUGCAGGACGCUGCCCCGGAGCACACCACGAACGGCUGGGAGCUUUUUAGAAAGCACCUAGCUAGGCGCUGCUUCUAGUGUCUCAGCGCUGACCAACAAGUCACACAAUGCAGAGACCCUAUUCGCUACCUCAGGUGCAUGGGCUUUGGGCACAUCUCCCACCACCGUCGCUUCGGUCAGCGACAACCCAUCUCAGCCAAGCUCACGCUCCAGGCUCACCUUCCCAGCAUCCAUAGCCACCUUGUUUUCCCACCACUCUGCCGUGCCAACCAUCCCAUCUCACCGCCAUCUCAGAACACACCAAACAGCUCAACACAUCCACCACCAAAAACCAGGGAAUACGUGCCUAGCUAGGUUGCCUACCGCCCACCGCUGGGCCGUGUCACCAUUGCCAUCGUUCCCUUGUGCGGUCAAUACCAGGCUCCAGCGGCACCCUUAUUGUGCUAUGAGCGUGACCAGGAUGACGACUUCCAGGGGCCACGGCGACACAAAGAACGACGUCGUCCGCGGUCACCAAUACGCAGCACCCCUCACUUCUUGGUGAGUCUAGACCCGCUGACAGACCACGACUUCCUGUCUUCAAUCCCAAGGAGCCCUUCUAUCAGGUACGGUGACCAAAUGUUCUUGGAGGCCCUCCCUCCUUGUGGAGACGGCAGUUGGUCCUCGCUACUCACCUGACUUCGGCGGUGAGCCUCAGAUGCCAGGGGCCCAGGAUGGAUCAACACGGCUGGAGUAGGACCUUGAUAAGGAGGUAAGUGCACAACCAGAUGGUGGAGAAUCUGCUGAUGCUGAGGACCAACAAUCGGAUGGACACACUGUUGUUGAAUUUUGUAGCAAAAUGUUCAAGGAGCUCCGGGCACCCUUGCUACCGACACCAGAGUUUCCUCGACCCCGAGAGCCCUCCCCCUUGCAGGCAAGCUGAGGAAGAAGAAGGCAUUGCAGGUGACAUGCUCGAGAGCUAGCGCCAGGCUGCCAAACCAUCCAUGGUGCCGGUGGCUGAGCGUGCUCAGCGCAAGCUGAUGCGCGAGCGUCUGGCACCAGAUGUAGCGGUGACUGAAUACAUUGAUUUGUAUGGUAAAUUCUUUGACAUGAUUUGAGAAUUUAGGACACUAUAUUAUAUUUUAUCAGUAAUCCCAUGGUAGAUAUGUUCUCAAUUGUGUUUCUACAUACAUCUUUAAUUUUGUCUGCAUUUUCCAUUCUGCACCCUCGACAAGCUGCUGCCUCUCGCCCGCUCCUUCUUGCCACCGACCUAAUUUUAAAUUAUAUUUUCCCCUUCGUGGAAGACUUCAAUAUUUUUUUUAUUUUUUUAGAUAAUGGAUAAAAAUCUGGCCUCUACAUCCGAGGAUAUACAUAGCCCAUUAUUACAAAAAAAUUGGAAUAAAUGCAAAAAAGAAAGCCAUAGUCAUAUAAAAUGAUCAGGACGCUAGUUCAAACAAUAUAAAUGUUUCCUUCCUUUAUUGGAAAACUCUAAAGCAAUGACUAUUGACUUCUAAUUUAUUGCUCAUGAUCGAGAGUGCGUCCUUGGCUUGCUCUUCACGCUGCAAUUGGGCCCAAAAGCAUAACCAGUACGCUCCCCUGAAAAUGACCUGCAUAAUAGAGUUAGAUUUUAUUCUAUUAAAAACAACAUCAUUACGGCAUCUCCAAAUAGCCCAAAGCAUAGCAGCCACCCCACCCAAAUCAAGUUUCUAAUCUUUUUAUUUUGAUUAGAUAGCCAAUUACCAAACAUGUGGCUGAUUGAUCUAGGUUGAGUCAUAUGCAUUUCGAAACCUUUAAGUCACUCGCCAUGAGCAAGAGGAAUGUGAAUCAAAUUCUCCCUCAUCCACACACCACACGUCGGAAUAGAGCACCAAGCGAAAUCCUCCUCGAAUCGAAUAAACUAAAGCAAGCAGAAUCAGAAGCAGCCAUGUGAAUCAUAUUCUCAGAACCAGAAUGUUCGUCAGCACUCAGCACCUUGGUGUAUGAGAUCGAUGAGAGACCUACUCUACGCGCCCUACCCGUCAACUGGCACUAGCUUGUCAGUUCACCAUGGGCCUCAUCAACGCCUUCACGUCGUCGCCGCAGAAGCAGCAGCUCCAUGAGCCGCUGCCGGCGAGCGCCGGCUUCCCGGCAAGCUCCAAGAAGCGCGCGCUGCUCGUGGGGAUCAGCUACGCCGGCACCAAGUACGAGCUCAGGGGCUCCGUCAACGACGUCAACUGCAUGAGCUACAUGCUCCGCGAGCGCUUCGGCUUCCCGGCGAGCUGCAUCCUCAUGCUCACACGUAAAUCUAAUACAGUCACCUCAUCUUUUGACUUAUAGCUUCAGAAUCUUUUGUAACUUUAGAACAUGUUUGAUACAGCUCAUAACAGUUUUAUGAGCUCUUUUUUUUGCCAAACAUUUAUUUCCAAAACAGCUUUAUCGGUAAAGUUGUUUUUUCUCUCCUCUCAUAGAGACAUGAGUUAGAAUGAAACUAAAAAAAGUAGCUUAUUGCAGCUUUCUCCUACAUUUCUCUCUUAACUAUGCAUGAAGUAGUUGGUGAAGCUAUUUUACCUAUCACUUUUUGUAAAACAACUCAGCAUCAUCUAGAAAGUUGGUCAUAAAACUAUUUUUAAAAAAACAGCUUUACUAGUGAAGUUGAGCUGUGCCAAACAAGCCCUUAGUUUUUCCUUCUUUUUCUUCUUUUUGUCCUUUCUUUCUCUUUUUGCUUUUCGUUAAACCUUUGUAAGAACCUUUUUGUGCCUGUAGGGGCUUUUAGCGCCUCCAGUAAUUUCAUCAAAGAAAAAAUCUAAUACAGUCUUGCUGCAACGCAUCGUCGUUGUUUCUCAUGUUGUUUUGCUUGGCGUGACCGUGAUCAUUGUCUAUCGAUCGGCUGCAGAGGAGGACAGGGACCCUGGGCGGGUGCCGACGCGGGAGAACCUGCUGCGCGCGCUACGGUGGCUGGUGGAGGGCACCAGCGCUGGGGACUCGCUGGUGUUCUACUUCUCCGGCCACGGCGUGCAGAAGCUGUACAUGGACGGCCACACGGUGGAGGGCUGCGACGAGGAGCUGUGGCCCGUGGACUUCGAUGGUGGCUCCCGCGGCGGCGUCAUCCUUGACGACGAGAUCAACGCCACCAUCGUGCAGCCGCUGCGCAGAGGCGUGAAGCUGCACGCCAUUGUGGACACCGGCCAUAGCGGGACCAUCCUCGAGCUCCCCUACGUCUGCCGCCUGUCCAGAACCGGCGGGAACUGGAAUUGGGAGGAACUGCAGAGCCGCCUCUCCGCCGGCAAGACCGCCAUGUCCACCAGCGGCGGCCUCGCCAUCUCCAUCAGCAGCUGCGGCGGCGACAGCCAGACGUCGCAGGACUUGUUGUUGGGAUCUGCCUACACCAGCGCCAUGACGUACAGCUUAAUCAAGGCGGUGGAGUCGGAGCCGGGCACCACCUAUGGCCGCCUGCUGACGGCGAUGAGGGCUACCAUCCGCGACAGCGGCAGGGAGUUCGGUGGCAUGGGCCCCAUCGGCACCUUCUUCCGCCGGGUAAUCACAUUCAGCCGUGCGCAGCAGGUACAAAACUCUGAAACGAAAACGUACAUCCGUGCACUAUUAUAGGAGUAUAAGUAUUGCUGCUGUGGUGUGCCGUUUGAUCGUACAUUGGAUUUUGGUUUGGCAGGAGCCCCAGCUGUCCGCUUCACACACGUUCGACAUCUACAAGAAACCCUUUCUAUUGUGACUCGGUAAAGUUUAUUUCACGCUUGAGUACAUGUGCCCUCACUCUCCCAUCCAUUAUAUUAGAUUUCGCUUUGAGAAGGGUGGAAACACACAUCUCAAUGCGAAACUGCUUUGAGAUGUGUGUUUGCACACUUCUCAAAGUGGGAGAGUGAAGGGAUGUGCCCUUAAGAGCAAAAAAAAAAAAAAAAACCCGCCUCCAUCGUAACUCCUUCACUUUAUAUUUGCUAGAUUAUAGCUUUGCACGGUAUAUAUGCAGACAACGCGAGUGUAUCAAUAUCAUUGACACGGUUCGUAGUACUAGUAGGAGGUGUGUCCUUUUGUCUCUUUUAGAUAUAGGAGUACCUGCAAGUGAUGUACUCUGUAAACCAUAGGCGUGAAGGAGAUAUAAGGCAUACAUGAUUUUGAUACCAUCUGAGUAGAAAAUUUUGGAGCUGAGAUGUUGGCGAUGCCAUGUGGGGAACCACAAGCUUCUUGCAGCUGCAUGAAUGAACUUAGUUAUGAUGACAAAGGAAGAUGGAGACGGUUCACUGAUAAAGUUGAGAAUGCAGUCCGAGGCAUGGCAGACCGGCCGAAAGCACGAUUUUUUGGCCUCGCUCAAGCACGGCACGCACUGGUGGGCCUAGGCCGGCACGACUCGGUACACUAGCAUGUGCCUGGGCCGCUUCCUAGACACAACACUUCCCGAUAAAUCUCUGCCGGCCCGGUAGAGGCCCGAUAUAGAUAUAUAUAUAUAUAUAUAUAUAUAUAUAUAUAUAUAUAUAUAUAUAUAUAUCCCAAAUUUUCCUAUUUCUAUUUCUUCCUAUCGAUCUGGCACAACUUUUCUUCGCACCAGUCGAUGCUGCAGCUUCCUUCCGAGAAAGUAGCGGCCCACUUCGUCCUUACGCGAGUGUCACCACCUCAACACCUUCGUGCCUUAGCUUGAGCACCGGGCGAGGAUGCGCCGCCACCUCUGUGCCCGACGAGAGCACGCCGGCAUGCCGCCACCUUUGUGCCCGAUGGCCACGGACGCGCCUCCUCCUUCACAGUUCAUGGCGCCCAAGCUGCUUGCCCACCGAGAAGGCUGAGCUGCGGGAUCCGGUGUCGAGCUGCUUGGGUGGGAGCGCGCCAAGCUUCUCCACGCGGAUCUGGUGUCGAGCCCCCUGCCUCCCCUUCCGGGCUUCCCCCCUCCCUUUCUCCAUGUGCAUGGCAUUUUGGGCUUUGGGCUCGGCACAGAAAGCGGCCUGACAUGCCUUGCCUGGGCCGUCAGUUAAGCAUGGUGAACUGAGGCGGCUUGGCCCAGUAGCAUGACGGCCCUACCGUGCCUGCUGGCAUGGGCCCGUGCCGAGCCAGGCUAGGCCGGCCCAUUGCUCAUCUUUAUUCACUGAACAUAGUCUUUUGACUGAAAUUUUGCUGAUAAAAAUGAUGAUAUAUUCCGUGUUGACAAAUCGUCCUAUCGAUCCAAGUACACACACAGAGCAAAUGUAAACAUACAGGAAUAGUAGAAAUAUAGAGCUCUUUUUUUCUUUCUCUGUAGAACAUAAUCAUCGAAUCUGUUUACCGGGCUCCCUUGUGUCUUUUAUCUGCCUCCCACAUGCUCCAAUAUCCACGUGUGACUCACACAUAAUUAACAGGGUGUGUUUUGUUUGACAAAUAGAUUGGCCCAUGAUCUUUUCAGCCAGUUUUAAGCUUGGUUUGUAGAAUGAAAUAAUUGACCUACACUGCGUUACCUCAUUCCACACAAACUAAUAUUUAGUACUAGUCUGAGAAAUAAAGUCAUUUUAUCAUAUUUGAUGAAUGGACUCAACGUACAAUCUCAUCUAGAAUAGAGUUAUUCCUCAAACUAAACACCCUAUAAGUGUGUUCAGAUGUUUAAAUUGUUCUUUCUUUUCUUAGGCAUAAAUCAUUGGACCCUGGGCUUGUUUGGAUCAGAGGAAUUACAAAGGAAUUUCAAAGGAAAGCAUUUUUAUGGAAAGUUUUUGAAGACUGAUAUUUGGAUUGGAAGAAAGAUACAUCACCUGAGUUGUCUAGGAGUAUGAACGUAUAGGAGUAUGUUCUAAUUUGGAAAGUUUUUGAAGAUUGAUGUUUGGAAUGGAAGAAAGAUACAUCACCUGCGUGACCGUUGUUUGAAGAUUGAUGUAGGUGUCCAGCUCUUCGAUGACUGUGUCCACCACCUGCGUCGUUGUCUUGGCUGUGUUGUUGAAGCUCCUGCCGUUCCGCUCCAUCCAGAUGACCCAGGUGACAAGAAGCACAAUGGAGUCCAAUGCCCGGCGAAUGUCCUCCAGUACCGUAUUGCGCGUCUCCAGCCACCAAUCGGCGAGCAUGGAACUGGUGGUGCUGAUGGCCCACCAUAGCGAGCAGUCAUGCCCAAACCUCUCGCAUGAACAGGCACGUUGGCUCUAUAUGCAUGUUGGCUCAGCAUCGAAGUUAUAGAGUCGCCAUUUGUGGAGCAUAUGUCUUGCUUGCGCCGCCAGGACAUGUCAGACCUCGGGCGGCCUCCAGUUCGGGGUUGUUAGCUCAGCACCAAUGUUGACAAUGAUGUGGUCUCAUGUGGCUGCAUCUUGCUUGUGCCAUGGGGACAAGUCGGGUAUAGUUUUCCAAACGGGUGGCACUAGCACUACAUGGCACUAGCACUAUCAGGCACGGUGCCCUACCGUGUCAUAUCAUACAUGUAGUGCCACCGUGUCCAGACUCUGGCCCAGGCACGACACUAAGGCCAAGAGAUAGUACCGUGUCAGUAGCCCAGCGGAUUAGUGCCGUGCUUUGGCAUUAAAACCAUAUCACCACUUCAAAAGAUCAGACUCAAAAGAACAGUUCAAAAACUAACUUGAAAUCUAAAGAAAUUGUAAUCAGAAAGAAGAAAACACAAGGUAACAGAAAUGUCCUUGGAAGCAGCAGUAUAUGACAACCAAAGAGCUCCUUAGCAUCCCUAGUGACAUCAUCCUCGUCAUCUCCAGUCAUCCCACAGAGGCGUUGAUGGUCAUGGAAUGACCGAUGUCCUCCUGCUCGUCUGACAUCUCGCUAUCGCGGGCCUUCGGUCCCUCAAUGGCUACCAAGAAGAAAGAAGUAGGGUUAGUAACAGAUCUAGGGUUAGAGUUCAAGAAGAAGUAGUAGUAGAGUUAGGGUUAGGGUUAGGGCUCACCUCUAUGGCCGGAGCUCCAAAGAUGCCAGCGACAACAACGACGUUGUCGUCGCACAAAUCCGGCACCAUAGUACCACAACGAAUUCGACUGGAGCCCCAGAGAUGCCAAACUCUAGUGAGGUCGAUGAGGGAGACGAGAUAGAGACGAUGAGGGCAAGAUGUGUAGGACGAGGCUACAUCGCUAGUCAGGGAGGAGGAAGAGUGGUAUAGAAGGUUGUGUUGCCGUGGCGGCCGCCAAAAAGCAGGAAGAAGAGAGGACGGUAGGCGAGGAGCUAGGGUUUCCACUGGAGAGCGGAGGAGCUGAGGAUCCGCAACAAGUGAGGAGAGAGAGAGGGUGAAGACACGAAUGAGCUAGGGUUCUAGGGAGUGGGGAGUGGUGAGUGGCACUAGCUUAUAUAGCCGUCCCACCCCAAUGCUUGAUCCAACAGCCAAGAUACGAGGGGGCGCUCCAUCCAACAGCUCGAAGUCGUGCCGUCGCCAUGCCAUCGUCGUGCCGCACAUUGAAGCGGGUCGUGCCCAUGCCGUGCCAUCAUGCUUACAUUGAGGCCCAGGCACGGGCAUGGGGUUGUGCUUGGCAUGGGCACAGGAGAGGCAGGGCUGGGCCGUUUUCGUGACAGACCAAAUAGUGGCUUGCCCGUGCCAGCCCAGCGGGCUUAGCCGGUUUGGAAAUCUAUAAUGUCGGGUGCUCUCCAUAGACUCCAACUCGGUGUCGGCCACUCAACAUCAAAGUUGGUCAAGUCGCGAACCUACAGGGUCCAUGCCUCGCUCGUGCGACCGGGACACCUCAAGCAGGCUCGAUGGAGGCAUGAUGCAUGUACCAAGGUGCAGCAUCCUUCUGCCGGCUUGAUAGAGCUGCCCCGGCGACUAAUCAAGGGCUCAACGUUUGAAGUUCCCAUUAGGAACUUCUCUGUGCAUCCGUCAAGUCGUCGAAGCUGCAGGUAGAAACCAGAAAAGGAAAAAAAACAAAAAUGUCCUAAAAUAUAAGGACCAGCCUAGGGCUAUAAUUAGGAGCCUCUCACAUCAAUAGAGGCACAAAAUAGCACCAUCAUGAUCAACACUUUAGCAUACUGGAGAAGACAUGAGGCUGAAGAUGACGACCAUUCUUGCGCAUUAAAGAUAGGAGGAGAACCAGGUUUCACCGCGCAUGCUAAUUUGUUUGGACAGAAAAAUAUAAUAUUUCUCCAUCCACUAUCGGAAUCCGGCUUUUUGUCGAGUGCCAAAUGGUUUACCGAGUAAUUUUUAUCGGGCACUCGGCAAAUAAGCUCUUUGCCGAGUACCAAAUAAAAAUACUCGGUAAAAAAUACUCAGCAAAGAAGCUCUUUGCUGAGUGCUAAAAAAACGCUUAGCAAAGAAGCUUGUUUGUCCAGUGCAAAAAAAAACACUUGGCAAGAAGCUUGUUUGCCGAGUGUUUCUUUGGGCACUCGACAAAAGACUUUUUAUCGAGUGCUAAAUAAAAAUACUCUGUAAAAAAACACUUAGCGAAGAAGCUUCUUUGCCGAGUGCUUUGUUUGGCACUCGGCAAAGAGCUUCUUUGUCGAAUGUACGUUUUUCUUUUGGCACUUGGCAAAGGAAAUUUCAAAGUACAUUUGAAGUAGUAAAUGAAUUCAAAUGAAAAAGUUUUCAACUACAUAGUUGUAUAAGUCAUCAAGAUGUACAAUGUUUGUUUUGGUCUUUUCUUCACAGACAAAGUGAAAGUAAAUUUGUUCACAAAUCUCAAAUAUCUCUCUUGUACUACAAGAGAUAUAUUUAAGAUUUGUAAACAAUGUUAGAACCACCAUGUCAGAUGAACAUAUGAUCAAAUAACCAAAAUAAACUUUGUAGAUCUUGAGAAGUUAUGAAACUUUAAUUUGUAGUUGACAACUUUUUAAUUUGAUUUCGUUUAAGACCUGAAACAAGCAAUUUACACUUGGUUUAGUUUAAUAUGUGGGAAACCGAAAUGACGUACAAACACAUAAGAGUGUGUAGUACAGUGGUUAGAGGAGGGACUUUGACAGAGUCCUGGGGGAUCCUUCCCCAAAUAUUUUUUUGGGUUUUUUUUUUGUUGGUUUGAACUAUGCACAAAAAAAUACCCACUACGCGAAUUUGACGGAAUCCGGUGGGCUCCUCGAAAUUUUUUGGGUUUGUUUUUGUUUUAACUUUGCUGGGCUUUGUUGGGUGCUCGACAAAAAACAAUCGGCAAAUAGCUCUUUACCGAAGGUUAUUUGGCCGAGUGCUCUUUGGCAAGUGUGUAAUAUGGCCAUAGUGGUAGUAGAUCUUCUUCAGUCCAUAUUUUUGUUCGAAACUACUAUAUUAUAUAUCGAUGCUUCGAUGGUGCACGAAAUCCGACCCUGAUACAUAGGAGCAUACAAAUACAUAUGAGUGAUGCAUGCGCGAUUUUCAGGAUGGUCCUUAUUCUCGAUCAGCAAGAUAAUAUAGAUACUAUACCCACUCAUGCAAUACUCUUACAUGGUAACAUUAUUGCAUGAACGGGUUCAUGCCAUGCCAUGCUUUAUAUAUAUGUAACGCAUGCAUGCGUCGUCGACCGAACACACCGGUGUGCUGCCUCAUGGUAGCUCAUGGGCAGAAGGUGACCUGGUAGUUGCUGUUGCCGGGGCAAUGAUGGAGCUUGGAGUUGUCAUCUGGAAACAAGUACGCCUGAGGGCACUGUGACCCCGUGCACACGAUGC
rnacentral:lncRNA from 1 species